rnacentral:rRNA from 1 species
GACGAACGCUGGCGGCGUGCUUAACACAUGCAAGUCGAACGAAGUGGCGAACGGGUGAGUAACGCGUAAUCAACCUGCCCUUCAGAGGGGGACAACAGUUGGAAACGACUGCUAAUACCGCAUACUGAAGGAGGGGAUUGCGUCUGAUUAGCUAGUUGGAGGGGUAACGGCCCACCAAGGCGAUGAUCAGUGGCCGGUCUGGGAGGAUGAACGGCCACAUUGGGACUGAGACACGGCCCAGACUCCUACGUGAGGCAGCGGUGGGGAAUCUUCCGCAAUGGACGAAAGUCUGACGGAGCAACGCCGCGGUAAUUC